GGCGACAGCGGGGAGUGGUGAUGAGAUGAGGAUUGAUGAGAGUGCUAGUGCUGCUGAGAAUGCUUUUAGAUUUGAGUUUACAUCGUUGGUUGGUUUUUCUUGGUUUGUGCUGCAGUGGAUGAUGUUGGUUGAGAGUUUUGGUUUUUGAGGUAAUUUUGGUCUUAGGGUUGAGGUGGGUUUGGAGAGGUUAGUUGGAAUUGUUAGAGACAUUUUUGUGUGGAAGAAGAAGAGAAGAGGGAGUGAAGGGUGUUGGAUUUGAUUUGUGUGUUGUUAUGGGAAAGAGAAGAAGAGAAGGUUUUUAGAUUCUGUGUGGAGAAGAAUUGGUGGUGGGAAAGUGGAUU
rnacentral:lncRNA from 1 species